CAGUUUUGUAAUCCAAAUACACAAUAAUUUAUAAAAAUAGAAGUAGUAUCUGGGAAGCCAAUGCAGGAACAGUGACUGCUAUUAUUAUCAUGUCUUCUUCUCAUUUCUGGUAGGAAUGAAUCACUUACUCCUGAAGUUUCCUAAAGAGGCAAUGGACCCUGGAGCCCUUGUCCUGCUCUGGCAUGCCUUUCUUCUUCUUUUCUCUUUCCAGCUUCAUUGCGGUGUCAUUGACCCAUAACACCGGGUAAAUUUAAGGUGAACCACGUGUCAAUUCACGUGUUGAUUCACCAGAGGAGCCUGGAGGGCCACAGUCCUGGGGUCGCCAAGAGUCGGACACGACUGAGUGACUUUCAUGUGUUGAUUGGAUAUACUUAGAGAUCUCAAAAUGGUUGCCACCAGAGGCUCAGCUCACACCUCCGGUGGAGGCCUUUCUUCUGCCUCAUCAUUCUUUCUGGUUGCUGUUUUCCCCUCUUCGGUUGCUUGGAGUGGCAUACGGGAUCUUAGUUCCCCAGGGAUCAAAUCCACACCUUCUGUGACGGAAGCGUGGAGUCUUAGCCACUGGACCGCCAGGCAAGUCCCUUCCCCAUCAUUCUUAGGGAUUCUGGAAGGUGUGUGGGGUGGGCGUCCAUGGGUCUGUGGUGAGGGCAGGUGCCGCUUCCUUCUCUUCCCCGCCCCCCUAACCACCCCGCUUCUUUCCAUCUGCAGACUCUUCAGAAGAAGGAAGCACCCAGAUUCCAAAGGUCUUGUUUCAGGGACACUGAGAAAGCGAAGCCCACCCUGACCUCCUCUGGCUCUUGAGGUGACCUGGACUUCCUCUGUUGAAGAAUGUUGCCUCUUUCACAUGCUAAUCUCUCAUCCCAAGCUGGACCCCCUGACUGGGACCCAAAAGAGGGCUAUAUCUCCAGAGGCCGGCAAGAACCCAGCACAGGGCGGCCAUGGGGGCCAGGUGUUGGGUGAAUGACAUCACCGAGCACCUGUUGCGUGCCGAACCCUUCACACACGAGUCCGGCUUUUAACAUCUUUCUUCCGGAAUGCUGGCUUUGCCAAGACUGGUGCAUAGUAAGCGCUCCAGGAUUAUGUGAUGGAAGUGCUGAGAUGAACUGUCACUCAGAGGAAAGAAGACUUCCUGAGGAUGGGGCCUUAGCAGAUUGAGCUCAUGAGACGAUCAAAAUAAGAAGAAAAUAAUAAUUGUAAUUUAUUAUUAUCCAGGAUCAUUAUUUAUUAUCAUUACUUAUUAUGAUCCCAGAUCAUAAUAAAUGUUCAUCUUCCCAGGGGCUUGGUACUGCUCUUGUGCUCAUCUCAUAGACGGGGGAACUGAGGCACAGAGAGGUGAAGGUGGAAACCCCAAGUCACACAGUCAGUGAGUGGCAGAGCCAGGAUUAGACCAACGCUGUUUGCCUGAGGAGACCGUCCUGAGCUUAUUACAACACACCUUCCACUAUUAAAAAGAGAAGUGCUGAUGGCUGUACCCAUUUUGCAGAUGAGGAAACAGAGGUUCUGAGAAGCCAAAGGGCUGGCCCGUGUCUGGAAGCAGAGAUGGUGGCUCAGCUGGAGGCGCGCAAGGGAACGCCCCAGCCUCCAGGGUUAGUACUCUAAAGGAGGGGGAAGCUGUCCCCUGCCUGUUCAUGUGUCUGGCCAAUACCCCAGCCUCUGUUUACCCAGCCCAACACCCAAAAGCUGCCUCUUCCGCCUGCCCUGGAGUCUCGGGUGCCUUCACAAUAGGAUUCUCUGUCUGUGCAGCUGGUUUUCAUUCAAGCCCUUUGUGCUGAAAAUAAAAAAAUGAAAAGAAAACUUGGCUCCUCCCCACUGCUUUGCUUCCCAGGGAGAGAGGAUCUCAGCCUUUUCUUUCCCGCAUUCUGGGGCCCAGAGAUGUCCAUCGACUGUCCAAGAUCACACAGCAGGGUUGGAGCCAGGACCUGGCCGUGGGCUCCUCAUCCAGUGCUCUGCUCACAGUCCCCAGCCUCCAGCUUCAGGGCCGGUCACCCCCUCCCGGCCCCUGCAUCUGCUUCUUCCUGA
ensembl:lncRNA